CCUACGGGCGGCUGCAGUGGGGAAUAUUGCACAAUGGGGGAAACCCUGAUGCAGCGACGCCGCGUGAAGGAAGAAGUAUUUCGGUAUGUAAACUUCUAUUAGCAGGGAAGAAAAUGACGGUACCUGACUAAGAAGCCCCGGCUAACUACGUGCCAGCAGCCGCGGUAAUACGUAGGGGGCAAGCGUUAUUCGGAUUUACUGGGUGUAAAGGGAGCGUAGGCGGUGCAGCAAGUCAGAAGUGAAAGCCCGGGGCUCAACUCCGGGACUGCAUUUGAAACUGUUGAACUAGAGUGCAAGAGAGGUAAGUGGAAUUCCUAGUGUAGCGGUGAAAUGCGUAGAUAUUAGGAGGAACACCAGUGGCGAAGGCGGCUUACUGGACUGUAAAUGACGCUGAGGCUCGAAAGCGUGGGGAGCAAACAGGAUUAGAUACCCGAGUAGUC
rnacentral:rRNA from 1 species